rnacentral:rRNA from 1 species
ACGGGGGGGGCAAGCGUUGUUCGGAAUUACUGGGCGUAAAGGGCUCGUAGGCGGCCAACUAAGUCGGAUGUGAAAUCCCCAGGCUCAACCUGGGAACUGCAUCCGAUACUGGAUGGCUUGAAUUCGGGAGAGGGAUGCAGAAUUCCAGGUGUAGCGGUGAAAUGCGUAGAUAUCUGGAGGAAUACCGGUGGCGAAGGCGGCAUCCUGGACCGGAUCUGACGCUGAUGCGCGAAAGCGUGGGGAGCAAACAGGA